GAAAGAAUGCGGCGGGGGCUCCGCGGGAGAACAAAGGCACGGCCCAAAGCCUCCCCUGCAGAAAAGGGGUUGGGGGGGGGAGGAAUCGCUCACUGCUCUGUGCCAAGAGCCCACCCUGAGCCCCCGGUCCCCCUGCAAGGAUAAACGCCAGCGCGCGGUGCAUUGCAAUCCCGCAGCUGUCAGCCAUAAAAAACCCCGACGCGAAGGAGCGGGGACGCGCUCCCCAUCCAUAAUAAACUCUCUGUGAGAGCUGCGGCUCCGGAGCAGCGCUGCUGUAAACACGGAGCCCGCUGCGCUCGGAGCCCCGACGAAUCCGGGCCGCCGUGUUUACGUUCCCGUGGAUCCCGGGGUGCCCCGAGGAGCACGGUGCAGUUCGAGCCAUUCAUUAUCCCCAAAGAGAGAACGUCAACAACACGCUUCAGCCGCAGAGACCGAAGCCAAAUGUUGGGUUUGAUCAACAGCACGCAGCCCUCGGGGCACGCGGCACCGCGGGGACGGCGGCACGGCCCCCCCAGCGUGGCACCCACGGCACUGCAGGGCUGGGAGCACCGCGGUGCUGUUCUGAAGGCAGGUCCACAUUCAGUUCUGCACUCGGUUCUGAAGUCAGAUCCGAGCUCAGCUCUAAAUUUGGUUCUACAUUCAGUUCCACUCUCAGUUCCGCACUCCGUUCUGCACCCGGUUCCGAAUUCAGUUCCGGAUUCAGUUCCGGAUUCAGUUCCGGAUUCAGUUCCGGAUUCACUUCCACAUUCGGUUCCGCACUCACUUCCGAAUUCAGUUCCAAAUUCAGUUCUGAAUUCAGCUCCAAAUUCAGUUCCACAUUCAGUUCCGAAUUCAGCUCCACAUUCAGUUCUGAAUUCGGUUUUACACUGAGUUCUGCGUUCAGUUCCACACUCAGUUCCGCAUUCAGUCCCGAACGCGCUUCCGAAUUCAGUUCCGGAUUCACUUCCACACUCAGUGCCGCGCUCAGUUCCGAAUUCAGCUCCGAAUUCAGCCCCACGCUCGGUCCCGCAUCCACCUCCGCAUCCCGCCCCGCUUUCAGCCCUGCCUCGCAGCGCUCUCCCUUGCGAACAGGCGGGCUCCGAUUCGCGGCCACGCGCAUUUUUGGCUGCGGGAUCGGGACGGUGCGCGCGCGCGCGCACGGAGCCCCCAGAAACAUCACGAUGGAGCGCGCAGGAAACCCCCCCCCCNNNNNNNNN
rnacentral:lncRNA from 1 species